GGCCGUUUAGCUCAGUUGGUUAGAGCGUCGUACUAAUAGCGCAGAGGAACGCCGAUUUCUCCUGGGCUAGCGAUGCGAAGGUCAGCGGUUCGACCCCGCUAAUGGCCA